ACUCGGUCGUUGCCGCUUCUGGUUGAUUAUUCAUGAUUCGAUACCGACACUGUUCAUAACAAACAUUUUAACCUUGGUUGAACAAAAACUAAGGUUCCACCUCUCUGACCAUUAGAUGUAAUAUAAAUUGGGUUAUUCUUUUUACUUCUCGUAUGGUCAGGUAUUUAAUGUAUAUUAUCGCACCGCGGGUAAAUUAUCACGUUGUGAUUGGUUUAAAGCCGUCACGUGGUGACCCCCUAUGGGACCGUAGGGGGGAUAGUAAAUUUCAUAGGGGGUUCAUGACGCGUUAAUAGUGACGUCAUCUAUCAAUGUUGUUGUGUUUAAUUGUUUAUUUUUCAACAAAACGCAGCAGAAAAAGUCUAGCGUGCGAUAAAUUCGUUAUACGGUUAACUACUGACCCCUACGAAUCCAUAGAGGGUGAAUAAAAUCCAUAGGGGACUCGGCCUCCGGCCUCACCCCCUAUGGAUUUUACUAAUCCUCUAUGGAUCCGUAGGGGGUCAGUAGCGAACCAUAUAACUUAUAAUAUAUCCCUUGUUUUUCAAAUUUGUGUUAAGAUUGAGCGUUUCUGAUGGAGAAACACCAUAACAAGGUCUUCGGGCUCCAUAUUUAAUUAAAAAAGUGUUUUUCAUAAAUAUGUUGUAAACUUGGGCCAAAUACCAUGUACCAGUCUUGUUAAAUCUGGUUUGGUUCGAUCCUGUUUUGCUCAUUUGGAUGUGUAAUUUUAC
rnacentral:lncRNA from 1 species